rnacentral:rRNA from 1 species
UACGUAGGGUGCAAGCGUUAAUCGGAAUUACUGGGCGUAAAGCGUGCGCAGGCGGUUUCGCAAGUCAGAUGUGAAAUCCCCGGGCUUAACCUGGGAACUGCAUUUGAAACUACGAGGCUAGAGUGUGUCAGAGGGGGGUAGAAUUCCACGUGUAGCAGUGAAAUGCGUAGAGAUGUGGAGGAAUACCAAUGGCGAAGGCAGCCCCCUGGGAUAGCACUGACGCUCAUGCACGAAAGCGUGGGGAGCAAACAGG